UUCCAUUCCUUAAUUAGCUUCAGGUUGGAUUCUUGUAUCUUGCAGUGUUCGCUUUCGUACUACCGAAUCCUUUUGCACAGUUGACUAUAUUUGACAUGUGCCUUGGCCGUUUAAUCUAUAACUCUAUGGCCUCGAGAAAACCCUGGCUGGCCUAGACCAUCGUGAAUGUCUUCCAACCAACCUGAGUAGAAAAGAGCACAACUAGCAUGAUACUUUUCUGGCUCGAUGGUAUCUCUCCCCAAUAUGAUAUUGUAGUGCCACAUAUGCUGAGCUUGGAACUUGUAAGGACUAUCAUCAUUGUGGAAGUCAGCACGGAAAUGACUCAUCUUGUCGACCUUGGGUAUAACUUGCUUCCUGCCAGCUUGCCUCAUAAGUCAAAGAAAGAGGUAAGGGUAUGUUCCUCUCAGACCAAUCAGUAUCAGGAAAGGUGUAUCUCUAGAUCGGGCGAUAAACUUCUCUUCGAAAACCACUCGAACAUCCAUUGAACUUGUUUUUCGGUCAGAUUUUCUAAAACCUUGACCUUUCCUUUAGAAUUCUCUAGAUGGGCGAACAUAUCGGGAAUGUAAUUCAUUCGCU
rnacentral:lncRNA from 1 species